rnacentral:lncRNA from 1 species
AAUCUUCCAGUAUUAUAAUAUGGCAGGUACUGGGGCUCAGCCAGUAGAGUGAUUGUAACUCAGUCCACAGAGCUUGCCUAGCAUGCAUGGGGUUCCAUGCCUGGCACCAUGUUAACAUCCCAGCUCUCAGGAGAUGGAGGCAGGAGUGUCAGGAAUUCAAUACCAGAGGUCGCCUUCAGUACGCUGCAAGGUGGUGAGCCUUGAUAGUAGUAACUAUGUCACUAGGGGAGUUUGAAUUCACUUCUGAGGUGUGCCCAGCUCAUGCUGGACACCAAGGCUGCAUUGGCAGUGAAGACUCUCUGUGCAGAGACAAAACCAGGAGCUUACAGUCAUUGCCAUGGACACUCCUUAGAAGUGCAUUGAUAACCUUGCCAGGUUUACAGAUUGCCUGUCAUCAGUGCCACUUUCCUUUGGGGCUAUGUGAAGCCCUGGCCACUUCCUGUACCCCUCCUCUUUACUUCCUGCCUGCUAUGAUGAAUUGACACCUCUGAAGUCAUGAGCCAAAACUUAACAAUAACCUAAUAAACUUAAUAAACGUCACUGAUUUUUUUU